rnacentral:ncRNA from 1 species
ACAUUGGGGCUGUAAGGUAGUGCUUCGCGCACGGGCUUUCCUGUUU